CGGUGUUCUAGGAUUGCAUCUGGCAUUCUCAGGACCUUAUAUAUUAUGUGUAUGGUUUAGGUUUCUUGCAUUUAAUAUGUAAGGUUCUGUGAAAACUUAUGCUAGAUGACUAUAGGAUAAGCUGGAAUGCAGGUGUAUAUUUAAUGUUUAGUAACUUGAUUGAUGAAUAU